UACAGAGGUCUCAAGCGUUGUUCGGAUUCAUUGGGCGUAAAGGGUGCGUAGGCGGCGCGGUAAGUCUGGUGUGAAAUCCCGGGGCUCAACCCCGGAACUGCACUGGAUACUGCCAUGCUUGAGUACUGGAGAGGAGAUUGGAAUUUACGGUGUAGCAGUGAAAUGCGUAGAUAUCGUAAGGAAGACCAGUGGCGAAGGCGAAUCUCUGGACAGUUACUGACACUGAGGCACGAAGGCCAGGGGAGCAAACGGG
rnacentral:rRNA from 1 species